CCUACGGGUGGCAGCAGUAGGGAAUUUUGCGCAAUGGUCGAAAGCCUGACGCAGCAACGCCGCGUGAUUGAUUAAGGCCUUCGGGGCGUAAAGAUCUGUCAAUGGGGACGAAAAUUGAUGGUACCCACUGAGGAAGCAUCGGCUAACUCUGUGCCAGCAGCCGCGGCAAUACGCAGGGUGCAAGCGUUGUUCGGAAGGAUUGGGCGUAAAGAGUUCGUAGGUGGGUUAUUAAGUCUGUAGUUAAAGACUGAAGCUCAACUUUGGUACGGCACUGGAUACUGGUAAGCGUGAAUGCGAGAGAGGAAAGGAGAAUUCCUGGUGUAGCGGUGAAAUGCGUAGAUAUCAGGAGGAACAUCGGUGGCGAAGGCGCUUUACUGGCCCGUAACUGACACUGAGGAGCGAAAGCCGGGGUAGCAAACGGGAUUAGAUACCCGAGUAGUC
rnacentral:rRNA from 1 species